rnacentral:rRNA from 1 species
GGAAUAUUGGACAAUGGGCGAAAGCCUGAUCCAGCCAUGCCGCGUGUGUGAAGAAGGUCUUCGGAUUGUAAAGCACUGUAAGUUGGGAGGAAGGGCAUUAACCUAAUACGUUAGUGUUUUGAUGCUACCGACAGAAUAAGCACCGGCGAACUCUGUGCCAGCAGCCGCGGUAAUACAGAGGGUCCAAGCGUUAAUCGGAAUUACUGGGCGUAAAGCGGUCGUAGGUGGUUCGUUAAGUUGGAUGUGAAAUCCCCGGGCUCAACCUGGGAACUGCAUUCAAAACUGUCGAGCUAGAGUAUGGUAGAGGGUGGUGGAAUUUCCUGUGUAGCGGUGAAAUGCGUAGAUAUAGGAAGGAACACCAGUGGCGAAGGCGACCACCUGGACUGAUACUGACACUGAGGUGCGAAAGCGUGGGGAGCAAAC